AGUGACCCAAAAUCUCACAUAUUUCAAUAGAUGUGUUCAAACUACAUAAUAAAAUUUUGUCUUAAAGUAUAAUAAUAACAAUCAAGUCUUCAAAAUUAAAAUUACAAACUUAAUUAAAAAAACAUAAUGUAUUAUUUCUUUACUACAUAUCAAUAAAUUUAUUCUUCUUCAAGAUUGUCUUCGUAGUCUUCAUUGCCUUCAAACUGCAAAAUAUACAUAAAUAUAUACUAAUUAAAUCUAAUUCAAACAAAAUAAAUAUAACAAUUACCAAAAUAUAAUUAUAUAAAUAAUCAAAUAACAUGUCUUAAUCAAAUCCAUUAUAAUAAAUACUAUAUAAAAGUAAAAUAAAUUUAUUUUUUCUUUUAUGAGAAUUAGGAAAUCUGACUAUCAUACAUUAACAAAUUAGGUGAAAAACAAUGAAGUAAAAAUGAUAAAGUUACGGAUCUUAAUAAUUUUAAAUAUAUUUUUUUAAACUAUAAAUUUAACGUUAUUAACUAAAUGAAAUAUUUUUAAUAUGCUUAAAUUAGUUAAAUAACUCUUAAAUAUUUAUAUAAGGAAGUAGAAUAUAUUUCUUUUAAAAUAAUAAAUUUAACGUUAUUAACUAAAUAAAAUAUUUUUAAUACGCUUAAAUUAGUUAAAUGACUUUUAAACAUUUAUAUAAAGAAGUAGAAUAUGGCACUGCAAUAAAAUAUUGAAUCAUAAAUAGACCUUAAACACUUCAAUAUUUAAUUUUGUUUCCUUUUUUUAAUAAUAUUUGUUACAUGACAGGUAUGCUAAUAUCUGUUUCUGACUCCAUAUAUAUAUAUAUAGCCUUGCAUUGUGAAGCACACAUAAACAAGUCUCUACAUCCCAAUACUUCUACUAUUGCUACUAUUGCUAUUUUUACCUUAAGGAGCUUUUUAUCUUCAGGGCCACAAAUUGCCUUAUAACCCUUUUCCUCGUCACUGGUUCUAGAUCUCUUUCUACUGUUUGAAUAACUAAAAUAAUCACUGGUGUCAGCACCUACCUAUAUUUGAGCAUUGUCAAAAAAAUAAAGAUUUUUACCUGCCAAAGCAAAGGCAAUCAAUGAAUACAGAUCCUGAAGGCAAUGAAUACAGAUCCUGAAGGGGAACAUAUAUGUAGGAUUAAAAUUGGCCAUUUAAUAAGAAACUAAUGGUAUGUGAUGUUAGAAGGCUACCUUUCUAAAAUUGGCUUGCCACAAGUCUGUAUCUCCAUGAUACCAAAAAAUAAAUUAUUGCUCCCACAAUUAUAACCUUAAAAUUCAAACCAUUAAAUGAAGUCACAUUUCAAUUUUUUUAAUGCAACCAAGUAUUAUCAGUUCAUGCUAAC
rnacentral:lncRNA from 1 species